ACUCACUGUCGACAUGCAAGUUUAAAAUUAUACACAUGGAAACAUGGCUGUGUUUAUGGAUUCGAAUAUUAGCUACACAACCGAUAAAAAACGACUUCAGAAUGUUAUUGCAACAGCAGCGCACCGUAACUAUGUUUGAUCCUUUUACAUUUGCAUAAUUGUUUAACUAGCACAAACCUUUAUGCAUAAAGAAGACCAUGGCUGCCUGGAUAACGUUAUGUUAGCUAGUAGCUCACCGUAACUAGCUAUGUUUUUAUCUUCUCAUUUGCAAAACUGUUAAGCUUAACACUAACUUCAGAUUCGUCUUUGCUAACGUCUACGCGCUAGUUCAUCGCUUGAGGCAACCCUCAAUAUGUCGUCGUACGAUGGACCAGAACUAGCUGAAAGAUGUCUUGAUUGAUUUGCUAAUCAAGUACUGUAACGUUUUCAUGUUUCAGUUGGAUACUCCACAGUUGCCAUCAAUUAUGUGGUUAAUUUGCAACAAAAGAAACAGGAAAUUGGCCAACCAAAAUGUGUCUCAGAGCUGUAUGAUACAUUUCCCAUAGUGCAGGUAAUGUGGAGUAAUAUUGAUGUAUAAGGUAAUACUUUUUCAUGAUGAUAACUAUCACAUUUCUCCAUGCAGUGGGAUAAUAACUAAAUAUAUUUUUUUGCACAGGGUAAAUCCAGAACAAUCAAGGUUUUAAACCGACUGACAGUUGUGGCCUCAGACCCAUCACACUUUGAGUCCAAUAUACACUGUAUAAAACAUUAGGAACACCUUUUGUAAUAUUGAGUCGACCUCUUUUGCCCAUAGAACAGCCUCAAUUCGUCAGAGCAUGGACUCUACACAAGGUGUCAAGCGUUCCACAGGAAUGAUGGCCAAUGUUGACUCCAACAUUGGCCAUUGGCCAACUGACCCUCCGUUACAUCAUGACGUGUCAUGCCGUAACGUACAGCACGCGUAAAGCAACUAUUUCUGUCUUACAAUCUCUCCACCAGGUGUAGCACUUCUCUCAUCGUUUAAAAACAAGAAAUGGACAGUGACAGGGUAAGGGGGAUACCUAGUAAUUUUUUGCGUCGUCACUGUAAGCGAUCAUUACUCUCAAAAGACAAUGUUUACUUCUGAAGAUCACUUUAGCACCGCCCUAAAAACCCGAUUCAAAUUCGACACAAACCUUCAAAUAGGUAUGUAAUGACACAUUAUAUAAACUCUUUAUAGUGUUUUAUUUACAUUUUAGAGGCAAUAAGGUGAUAAAUUGGACAGAUCGAGUGAAAAAAGGCCGUUUCCCCACAGGUGAUCUCUCCUUCUCACUAUCACGCAUUAGUUUCGCUUCCCCACCUGCCAUUUUUAAAAAGACCCGAUGGCGCUCAUUGCCUUCUUGAAUUAUGCAGAAACGGGCAACGUGAAGGUCAUGUAAUUUAUUUUGUUGGAAAGGGGAGAAAUUGUGCUUUACUAUGGUAUUAACAUUACAAUUGAUCUGGAAGUAUUAUGUUUUUGGGGCGCUAAAAUAAGGUCAAUUGUACGGACCAAGGCGAUGUACAAAAGUGAGUGAGUUUACGUUACUACCAUACCCCAUUCAAAGGCACUUAAAUCUUUUCUUGCCCAUACACCCUCUGAAUGGCACACAUACAAUCCAUGUCUCAAGGCUUAAAAAUCACUUUUUGACCUGUUUCCUUCCAUCUACACCAAUUUUAAGUGGAUUUAACAGGUGACAUCAAUAAGGGAUCAUGUCUUUCAGCUGGUCAGUCUGUCAUGGAAUGAGCAAGUGUUCCUAAGGUUUUGUAUACUCUGUGUGCAGUAGAAGUUUAAACAUUUGCUGACAGUAUUCAUAUUGCAUGAUUUUUCAAAUAAUAUCUGUCCCAGAGACCAAUUGCAGAGUACAAAGCCUAUGACUUAGUGGCUGUCUAUCCUAAAACAGAGAAGUUGUUUCGUGUAAGUACAUUUUUCAGCAUCAUUAUCCACUACUGACAAUGUAUGUUAGGAUAACCUUCUGCUCAUUUUGGUGUUCUACUUGUUUCAAUGGGUGGCUUGCAUGACAUUCGAUGUUGACAUCCUCUGUGUAGCAGUGACAGAAAAACAGCCCUUCUCCAGUAAAUGGGGUAAGUAUGUAUACAUUGCCUUGCAAAAGUAUUCACACCCCUUGGUUUACUUCACAUUUUGUUUUUACAGUGGGAUUAAAAUUUGUUUUUUUUUUUGUCAACAAUCUACACACAAAGUACUGUCAGUGGAAUUAUUUUUUAUUUUAUUUUUUUAGAUAAAUUCAUAACUACAAUAUAGUCAUUGCAUCAGUAUUCAUCACCUUUGUUUUGGCUAGCCUAAAUUAGUUCAGGAAUAAAAAUGUGGUUUAAAAAAAUCACAGUUACAUGGACUAUGUGUGAAAUAAUAGGGGUUGACAUGAUUUUUGAAUGACUAACCCUUCCUCUGUCCCCCAUAAAUACAUUUGUAAUAUCCCUCAGUCAAGUAUUGAAUUUCAAGCACAGAUUCAACUACAAAGACCAGGAAGCUUUUCAAAAGCCUCAUGAAGAAGGGCACUAAGAUUAUAUUGCAAAGGAAUACACUUUUUGGCCUGAAUGCAAGGCCUUACGUUUGGGGGAAAUCCAACGCAUCACUGAGUAACUGCCUCAUUUUCAAGCAUGGUGGUGGCUGCAUCAUGUUAUGGGUAUGCAUGACAUUGGCAACUAUUGGGGAGUUUUUCUAGGAUAAAAAGAAACAGGGUGGCGUUAUUUUUAUUUAUUUCUACUUUGCACAUUCUUCCAUUGCAAAACUACCAUUCCAGUAUGUUACUUGCUAUAUUGUAUUUACUUUGCCAUCAUGGCCUUUUUUGCCUUUACCUCCCUUCUCACCUCAUUUGCUCACAUUGUAUAUAGACUUGUUUAUACUGCAUUAUUGACUGUAUGUUUGUUUUUACUCCAUGUGUAACUCUGUGUCGUUUUAUCUGUCGAACUGCUUUGCUUUAUCUUGGCCAGGUCGCAAUUGUAAAUGAGAACUUGUUCUCAACUUGCCUACCUGGUUAAAUAAAGGUAAAAUAAAUAAAUAAAUGGACAUGCAAAAUCCUAGUGGAAAACCUGGUUCAGUCUACUUUACACCAGAGACUGGGAGUUGAAUUUGCCUUUCAGCAGAACUAUAACCUACAACACAAGGCCAAAUAAUGUUCCUGACUGGCCAGUUACAGUUUUGACUUAUCUGCUUAAAUCUAUGGGGAGACAUUUAAAAUGGCUGUGUAGCCACGAUCCCUAACAUCUUGACAGAGCUUGAAGAAUUAUGAAAAGAAUAAUGGACAAAUAUUGCACAGUCCAGGUGUGAAAAGUUCUUAUAGACUUACCCAAGAAGACACGGCUGUAAUCGAUGCCAAAAGUGUUUCUAACAUGUAUGGACUCAGAGGAGCUGAAUACUUAUGCAACAACUAUAUUUUAGGUAAAUCAUAUACUAAAUAUAAUUUCUUCCACUUUGACAGAGUAUUUUGUGUAUCCAAGGGGUCUGAAUAGUUUUGCAAGGCACUUGUCGGUAUUUGAAUUAACAACUAAUUUGGUGACUCUCACUUGCGUCUUAUUUCUUUUGGUUGGAGUGGAUAAUUUUUUUUAUAUACAGUAAAAGUGAUGUAACUUAUUCUUGUUGAGAGGUGUGUUCUUUGAAAUAAGUUACGCACCUGCAAUCCGAGACUCCACCUUGAGAAGAUACACCAUCGCAAAUUCCAUCAGUCUCUUGGAGAUGUGCAAAGGAAAAGUAAACAAAUACACCCAUCGCGGUUCAUUGUUCACCUGUUAAUCCACCUGCCAUUUUCAAACGGUGUGUGUAACCGCAAUGUUUUCUUUCAAUUAGAAUGUAACUUUGACGAGCGGGGCAGAAAAGGUACGAUAGAAAUGAGAUAUUGUCUUACCCUCUUAGAUAACAAUCACAUGAACCUUUAGCACGUUAACAUCAUCCUGAAAUGAACUUUACUAAUGUAAAUGUGUUUUGUCCCUCCUUGUUCAGUCCCUUGAGUUGAAGGGACCCUACGACAUUGGCAACUUGUAUCCUUACAUUACCUUCUACAGUACUUGAUGUAGGCUACUAGAAUAGAGUGCAGACUUUAGCAGGUGUGAUGAGGCCAACCUGUGUCCGUGCUGUUGUCCUGAAUGAGGUCCAGAGGCCUACUUUUUGGCCUGUCCGAAGGAGAUGGCAAAUCUGCAAUCUCCACCAACUGUCGUGUUGUCCACUUACAUGGAGGUGAAUAGGCUGCUGUUUAUUGAUCGAUCAAUUGAAUACGUUGGGUCAAAUCACAAAUGUUAUCUUCACUUGGGCUACUCACUGUCCCGUUUGAACCAUCUAUGGAAUGUUAUUUUUUUGUAAUUUAUCAAAUAACACAGUCAUUAAACCUAUAUUUACUACAUGUUGAUCAGUCUCAAAGCAGAAUUUGUGGCACAAGGGAACCAAUUAAUGUACUGUGUUGUCAUUCCAGAAACAAGAAAGACUGCCUUGGGUAUUGUACACACUAUGAAGAAAGAGCAGCCAUUGAGAGACAGCCUCAGAGGGCUAAGAUUGAGACUGCAUAGUAGAAAGUAAAAUACUUUUGGAUGAAUAGAGAAUGUGUUUAUGUAAAUGCCCUUUUAUGAAUAUCUUUGUGUUAAUGUGACUGUUUUCUAAUUGUCAGUGGUUUAUAUAGUUUGUCAUGGAUUAGCAACUAUGAUGAUGCUUGUUCCUUUUAGACAAAGGAAUCCAAUUCAGAUAGCAAAGGCAAUGCUGUCUAUUUAAUACAUUUACAGGUAAACAUGUAGUGGAAACAUUGCAGUUACUUCAGGAAGUGUAUUAAUACUACACAAGCAUUUUCAAAUCAUGUAUUCUCACUGACUACCACAAAACCAGGUUGAAGCCACAGGCUUGCUUUCUGCGGAACAGUAUUGUUUUGUGACUAUCUUUUUAUAUUAAAGAGAAAUUAAGAAUGUA